rnacentral:rRNA from 1 species
AGAGUUUGAUCCUGGCUCAGGAUGAACGCUAGCGGCAGGCCUAAUACAUGCAAGUCGAACGGUGAUAGCAAUAUCAUAGUGGCGCACGGGUGCGUAACACGUAUGCAACCUACCUUAUACUGAGGGAUAGCCUUUCGAAAGGGAGAUUAAUACCUCAUAACACAUUGAACUGGCAUCAGUUUAUUGUUAAAGAUUUAUUGGUAUAAGAUGGGCAUGCGUCCAAUUAGUUAGUUGGCUAGGUAACGGCUCACCAAGACGAUGAUUGGUAGGGGAACUGAGAGGUUAAUCCCCCACACUGGCACUGAGAUACGGGCCAGACUCCUACGGGAGGCAGCAGUAGGGAAUAUUGGGCAAUGGAGGCAACUCUGACCCAGCCAUGCCGCGUGCAGGAAGAAGGCGUUAUGCGCCGUAAACUGCUUUUAUAUAGGAAGAAAUAGACCUUGCGAGGUAAGUUGACGGUACUAUAUGAAUAAGCACCGGCUAACUCCGUGCCAGCAGCCGCGGUAAUACGGAGGGUGCAAGCGUUGUCCGGAUUUAUUGGGUUUAAAGGGUGCGUAGGCGGUUUAUUAAGUCAGUGGUGAAAGACGGUCGCUCAACGAUUGCAGUGCCAUUGAUACUGGUAG